rnacentral:rRNA from 1 species
UACGUAGGGGGCAAGCGUUGUCCGGAUUUAUUGGGCGUAAAGAGCGUGUAGGCGGCCAGAUAAGUCUGCUGUGAAAACUCGAGGCUCAACCUCGAGCUGUCGGCGGAAACUAUUUGGCUAGAGUCCGGAAGAGGAAAGCGGAAUUCCUGGUGUAGCGGUGAAAUGCGCAGAUAUCAGGAAGAACACCAGUAGCGAAGGCGGCUCGCUGGGCCAUUCCUGACGCUGAGACGCGAAAGCUAGGGGAGCGAACAGG